rnacentral:lncRNA from 1 species
CAACUCAUUUUUCUUCCCUUCCAUUUCUUCUCACGAUCUCUCCACUGCCAUUCCUCUUCUUCCUUCAUUCCAUCCCCUUUUCGUCGUUUAUGUGGUUGGGAUUAAUGAAUUUCACGGUUUAUUUGAUCUCUAAUUUCCAUUUUGCAUGUCUUAUAAGAUCUGUGGUUUUGAGACUUUUACUCAUGAAUGUUUCUGUGUUCUGGA